UGUCAUUUGACGUUUGUCGCUCGGACAAACGAACUGAGUCGAAGGGCUCGAGUAUAUAAUUAAUAAAACCAGAUAGUCAGUCUGUUCUGAAACCUCAACUGAAACAGUUUACUUUAUUUCACCGCUCUUGAUCGAGGAACCCCUUUAGUGAAGUACCCUUAUUCAUUUUAAGUAUCCUCUUUAAAAGUGGCGACAAGCAGAAGAACAUAACGCGUGUGCAAAAAGUGACUAAAAACCCACUAGUUUAUUGAUUGCGACGGUGCAAAUUGGAAGCGAAUAACCAUCGGAAACUACCAACCGCGCACAUCGUUGGUGUAGCCAUUAUUGUGUGCUGAACUAUCUCCUAACGCCGGCGAGAAUUAAGAUAUUGAGUUUAUUCUACAACCAAUCAUCCGAAACCCGCAGACGUCGCUGAAUCAUAUGCGUUGGAAACGUGGUGAUAAUGGCGCAAAGAUCACAGGUCAGGAUCUCUAAAGCAACAACUCAAUGGCGAGGGCCGAAUGUUUUGAUUACGAGGGAGGAGCGAGCCAGCGGAAUGAACGACGAUAUGAGUACCCCGGGAGACGAGCCGCCCACUGGCGAUGUGACGAGUAGCCCACUGGCCAGUGGCGAAGUGGAAGAGGAACAGGCUCGGGUGGUGGAGCUCCGAAGAUCGAAACGCCCUAGGAAAGAACACCGAAGUGCUGAUUAUCAUUAUGAUUGAAUUUUGGAAAUUUUCGGAUUAGAUUUAGUUUCUCAAUGAUUUGAAUUCGAUAUUUGUUCUUGAAUUGUUUGAACUCUCGUGGAUUUAUUUCGCGUUCCGAUUAUUGUUAUAACAUAGUAAAAGGGGGAGAAUUGUUAUAGUUACUUGCGCACCCCUAUGCGCUCUGAAAUGUCAUUUGACGUUUGUCGCUCGGACAAACGAACUGAGUCGAAGGGCUCGAGUAUAUAAUUAA